UUUAGUAUACUAAUUCUAAUAAUAAAUCUAAAUAGAACUUUACAAUGGAUCUCUUCGCUCUCGCAUCGAUGAAGAACGCAGCGAAAUGCGAUAAGUAAUGUGAAUUGCAGAAUUCAGUGAAUCAUCGAAUCUUUGAACGCAUAUUGCGCUCCUCGGUAUCCCGGGGAGCAUGCCUGUUUGAGCAACGUAACAACAGUCUAAUAAAAGAAGGGUCGUGGUGCAUGGAAAACCAAUAGGAAUUCUAUAAGUCUCGUCGUUGUCUGUUCAAUAUCUUGAGGAGUCUCCUUUUUAGUAGAGUUUCUAAAAAAAUCGGAUUGGCAGGGCGGUCGUAAUGGCGUGGAGCAUUUUUUAAUUGUACUAGCACUACAUUUUUAUCUUCUCUAUCGCAUAUUACUGACUCCUGUUCACUUUUUCUUUAGUUAUGAAGUCCGCUACAAUUUCUGCGUGCGGCUUCUAACAAACAUGUUUUCAAAUCAGGUAGGAAUACCCGCUGAACUUAA
rnacentral:rRNA from 1 species